ensembl:lncRNA
AAAUCUAUUUGCAAUUGAGUGUGUGUUAAGGAUGUAUUUGAAGGGAAUUUGAUUGAAUAUUUAAAUGUGGCUGAUAAGACAUCAUCUAUAAACCACAUCAGCUCUCUCUGUGGCCCUUGAUUUGCAUGGGUACAGCAUGAGUGCUUAUCUUGUAAUGAUUUUCUACUAUUCUACAUUCUGUCACAGAGAAAGUCAGUGAGAAAUGCAGUGCGUUUAUAUGUGUGUGUGUUUAAUUAAAGGUGAGCACCAACUGAGAAUGGAGUGUGUGAACUGCGUUAUGAAUGUGGCACGCCUUGGGGGCCAGGCCAGACCUGAAAAACCAGCUGCUGCUUUCAGUCCAGAGAGCUGAUAUGGCAUGUCGUGUCUACCUCUCUGCCAAGGGCUGAAACCAUCCCUCGCUUUCAACUUCUUCAGUUUUUAAUCACACCUGAAGUGAACAUUCAGUCAUUUCACCUGUUCAGACUCACUUCAGACAGAGUUUCCAUCUUGUUUUUCUGUCCCAGCUCUGUUAGCGGCAGCGUGUGUGUGAGGAAAGGAGCGUGUGGACUAUGCUCACUUCAGUCGACUGAAGGAGGGGGAGUGGAGGAAUUGAUACUGUGGAGAGACGGAGAACUGAUCGUACAGCGAGUGUGUAAGAAGUGGGAGAUGUUUAAGAAUCCGACUGCAGACGGACACUUACCUGUAGCAGAAAGUGAUGAAUGGGCCAUUGUUUAAGUCAGGGGAACUGAGGACUGAUCUGUUGUACAGAAAGGCAGUAGUCAGGACAAAUCUAAAGAUGCAAAGAGCCGGCACAGCAUCCGUGACCCAGUCCACACCCACACAGAACACCACAGUCGUCACCAAGUCUAGAGAACAAAUCCUCACGCAGAGCUCAGGAGCCAUGAUAGCUGUAAUCGUCAUUGGUAUAAUCAUCAUACUCACAUUUUUGCUGAUAGUCCUCAAGACAUACAACAGGAGGACUCAUGCAAACAGGAUGCUGGCUGGAGGCUCCAGCAAACCAAGGAAGAAGGUGUCCUCAACAACCACAAACACAAACCUGGCCAUGAGCAAUGUGGGUGCGAGCUCCAUUUCUGGAAGCUUUGUGCAUUCUAACGCAUCCUCAGUGAAUGGGUACCACAUUCCUCGGGUCGACCUGGCAAACGUGGACCGGAGUAAUGGGGAGCAUUUCAGCACCAACAGCGGCUCAACUAUUGCGACGAUACAUGACAUGCCAUCAGUAGAUAACACAUAGCAGACUGGACUCACACGGGCGAAGAUACUAACAUACCAACAUGAACAAAGAACCAAUGGAAGAGGCCCAAUCAUAUUUAAGCACCUGCCAUUAACUGAACAUUCACUACCUGUGAUUUCUCAUUUUAUGGAACUUUGAUAAAAGUCCACUUAAAAAAAAAACAAAAAAAAAAACACCUGUAUAUGAUAAUGAAGAACCCGAAGAACACUUAAGACAAGUGUCCUACCACUUGACAUGAUUAUGGUUUUAUUUUUAGCACUGGAUUUGGUAAUGAAAUGUAUGUUAAAACAUAUUUUACUGCCUUGAGCUGUAAACUCUUUUUCUUAAAAAUGCAAUUGGUGGGAGCCAGAAUUCAGUUAGAAAUGUUAAGGAUGCCCGUCAAUUUAACUUGUGUAUUACUAUGACAUUUGCACUAUAAUAGUAAAGUCUCUCAUAAAAGAUUGUUCAAACAUAUACUUUGCAUUUAUGCAUUUGACAGAUGCUGAACCUAUAAAGCUUAGCUUGCAUUAAAAAGUAUGUAUUUUGUGUUUAUACAGUCCCUGGGACUCAAACCCAUGACCUUGAUAGUGAUUUAGGCGUCCAGACUCGGGAAAGUGUCGGUAACACACUGUGCAUAAAUAUAAAGUAUCUUCAGUCGUUACCUUUUUGAGCUGGUGUUAAUUACAUCUUUAGAUGGCAUUUCUUGCAUGAAACAACCACAACGCCCAGUUCACUGACAAAUGUUGUCAAAUGAGUCAAUUGAAAAGAUUUAAUUCUGCCUAAACUUGUUUGUGGGUUUGCAGUUUGAAUCAGACUCAAGUCAGUGAAUAUUUCAGAACUAUUACUGACACUGGAGCUGAUUACAUCAAUGAAUCAUAUGAAUCAUUCAUCAGUCAGAUUUAAAAUGAACCAGGAACCACUGCUGGUUUUUAAACAUAGUUUUAUUCUAAUAAAACUAAACUGGGAACUAAACCA